GUAAGGUAGAGCUCCUUCAAACUUAAGUUGGCCUGCACGUCUUAGCAGCACAAAGAAUUGCUCGAUGAUUUACAGAAUGUCGGCAGCUACAAUCAACGUUCUUACGACAUUUUUCCCUAUAUGUCUACUCGGAAUAACUCAAGCUCUACCUGAAAAAUGUCACAGAGCCCUUGGUUUAGAGGAUGGAAGAAUUAGAGACUCACAGAUCACAUGCUCUAGCGUUAGAAAGGGUACGAAUGCUUCCUCUGAACAAGCUCGUCUUCGCCACAAU